GCGGCCGUGGCUGACUGGUUACGGCGUUCGUUUGUAACCGAAUAGUUCUGGGUUCGAUUCCCAACUGCUCCC
rnacentral:tRNA from 1 species